CACUACAAGAAAGUUGAGAUCUCCCAACGGUUUUGUUAGCAACGGUUCAAAAAACCGUUGGCAGAAAUUGGGUUUAGCAACGGUUUUUAGAGCGUUACAAUAACCAGGUAUGCAGAAACGGUUUUCAAUGAACCGUUAGUAUAGCCUCUCUCUAUUGUCACGGUGUUUUAUGGACCGUUACUAUAGCCCAGCCCAUUCUUUUUUCCCCCAAAUUUUUUUCACUUCGGCGCGAAAUAUUCCGCUCCAAAAUUUUCCCCAAAAUUAAAUAAGCCCUAAACGGUACCGUUCUCUCCCUCUAAACAUUAAUUGUAAACAUCGAUCUCCCUUCUCAAUUCUCACAGUUCUCUCGUUCUCACCAAACAGCACAUCACGCACCUAUCGCAGACGAUCGAAGACGAAGACAACUGGUGGGUUACGAGCUCCCUCCUUCCUAGCGUUGUAAUCUCUCUCUGUACACAUUGUAAACAUCGAUCUUCCAAACCCUUCUCGCAGUUCUCUCGUUCUCUCACCAAACACCACACCACGCACCUGUCAAAGACGAUCGAAGACGAAGACGACUGGUGGGUUACGAGCUCCCUCCUUCCUAGCAUUGGAAGAAGAAUCGGGCUAAGCUAAAAAAAAAAAACCAAGCUUCCUUUGUUGCACCUACACCUCUUCUGGGUCAAAGCAAACUGUGAUCUUCGGUGCUUCAACGCAGUAGUUCGUAGUUGGCUAUUGGAUACAUAGCAUCAGAAUCUUUUCAAGAAUCUUUUCGAGGUGAUAGAACUAUCUAGAAGCAUUUCGUGUUGGAUAUAUAUUUUCAUGGAGGUUUUGUAAGGAUGACAACCUAUGUGAUUUUUGUUGGACAAGUUUAGGCAAUGAUUUUUGUGGAUUGUUUUGAUAUGUGUUAUAGGAGAUUUGCUAAAGUACAAACAAUGUUGAUGGAUUUUUGUUUGAACAAGUUUAUGUAAUGGAGUUUGAAUUAUGAUAUA